rnacentral:rRNA from 1 species
AGUGAACGUUGGCGGCGUGGAUUAGGCAUGCAAGUCGAGCGAUCGUAGCAAUACGGGAGCGGCAAACGGGGUAGGAAUACAUCGGAACGUACCUUUUGGUUGAGAAUAGCGCUGGGAAACUGACGGUAAUACUCAAUAAAGUCGAGAGACCAAAGGUUUACUGCCGGAAGAGCGGCCGAUGCGAUAUUAGGUAGUUGGUGGGGUAAUGGCCUACCAAGCCUGAGAUGUCUAGGGGGUGUGAGAGCAUGGCCCCACCACUGGGACUGAGAUACUGCCCAGACACCUACGGGUGGCUGCAGUCGAGGAUCUUCGUCAAUGGGCGAAAGCCUGAACGAGCGACGCCGCGUGCGGGAUGAAGGCCCUUGGGUUGUAAACCGCUGUCAGGGGGGAUGAAACCGUAAGGUUGACAGAGCCCAGAGGAAGCACGGGCUAAGUUCGUGCCAGCAG